ensembl:lncRNA
CCCCUUCUCAGACCUCAUUUAAGUGUUGGCAGUGGAGGUAAGGGUAUCUUAUAGGAGAUUUCUAUGCACCUGAGGUCUUCCUAAGGAUGUGUACAGCAUGCUCAUCUGUCUGGAACCUCUGAAUUCUUCAUCAACAAGACUGACAGAUAACAGUUCUGACCAGCUUGGCGAGUGCUAUGCAAAAGCUUGUGACUUGUGCUGCUGCUGGAACAUGGGAGGGCCUCUUAUCUGAACAAUUUCUAGAUGGAAUCAGAGGCUGCCAGUAGAGGGUCACACUUCUGAAGGAAGCAAGUGGUCAAGGGCUGGCUGCUCUGAAGAGCUUAAAAUUUUAGGGUGGACUGGGAAUCCACCUUCCCUGGGCACUCAGGAUCUUUAAGUGUCAGUGGCAAGAAGCGUUUUUGAAGGCUGUGUUUAUACUGGACGCUACACUGUGAUGGGUAAUGUUAUUAUUUUUACUGCAGAUGCCUCUGGGUUGCGGUGUGCAGCUGAGGUUCUUUGGUGUUGUGCAAUUUCAGAGCAAGGAAAUGCUGCCCCUGCUCUGCAGAACUCACAAAUAAGCGUAAGGCAAAACUCAACAGGUGGGAGCAGACAGAGUAACAAAUAAUUGAUUCAAUUUUGUCUGUGUCCUGAACUAGCAGAUUUGUAAACAGCUGGAGAUCCCAACUUGAUUUUGAGCUACACACAUACAGAGAUCAAAGCCAUAUAUCUGGAGUUUGAUUUAUGAAUUAACAAUAUUCUCAAAAUAGCAGUUAGCUUUGUUUUUAGGCUUUUAGCUGUUCCCAGGAUUUGUGCAAUCCCACUCCCCACCCAUACCUGUCCUCAAACCUCAGCGUGGGGGCUGUUGUUUGAAGCCUGCUGUGUGGGAUGGCAAGUCAGUCGUGCCAGUGAGUCAGCAAAACCUACUUCACACUUCCCUGAAGGUUCAACAGCAGCUCCAGGCAGAGGGUAUUUCAGGCAAGUGCCAUUAGUCUGUUACAAGCUAUACUGGUCUAAAGCAGUUUGUGCAAACAGCAGUACUGAAAAAACUGGUCAUAUGCAGUGUCUGGGAUUUGUAACUUCAGAGGCUGUAGAAAGUCCUGACUCAUCUUCAAAGCACAACUGGAUGAGUGAAUGGACACAAGGAUGUGCAGGUAAUCUGUUGUGUAAACACAUGCAUAAGGUUUUGUGACAGCAUGAAAAAUGAACUUGCUGCAUCUGAACUCCUCAGCUUUGGUAUCAUACUUAGUCAGCUGUUUUCUCUUCCGUGUUCGUUGUGUGCAGACAGGACUCUACCCAAAGCUCCCAGCACGGGGCAGCCUGCCUGCAGUGGCACUGGGACAGAGAAACAAGCAUGGCUUGGGAAGGGGAUGACUGCCAGCUAAAGCCAACAAAACUUGCUACCACCAAAGCCACUUCUAAACUGCAGAAUUCAGAGCUUUUCUCAGUGAAUGACUGAGGCUGGUAGACUAGAUUGCAAAUAAGAUACCUGGUUUCCAGCAGUUCCCAUGCAACGCUGCACUGGCAAAAGAAGAGGGCAGUAGAACUAAGGUGGGCAGAAGCAGGGAGGUGUGCAGGGAAGCAAAAGUGGAGUGAAUUUUGGUACCUGUCAUUGCCACUGAAGGAAAGGUUUCCAUAACUGGAACUUAAACUGAUGUGUGAGAGUGCAGGUCAUCUGCUGCCUUUGCAAUAGGGCAGUGAUAUAGGGAGGGGAAAUGGGAGAGGGAAACAGCAGGGGCCUGUAGUAUCAGCUAAAGCACCAUGGGCUGUGUCCUGCAGUUCUCUGAGCAAGCUGUGUGCAGCACCUAUCACCCAACCAGCCUCGCUUCUCUGCACUGAGCAUUCAGCACUCAGCUGGAAAAUUCUGCAGCACUUUACUAUGGCAAUGGUCAGCUCCAUGACAUGAGGGGUCAGUCCUGGCAGCAGCAUUGUUCAUGUUUUGCCUGUAGCUGUCCUGUAAUAUAAGCCUUCCUAGUGGAAAGGGCUGCCAUAGCCUGUUCUGGUGGUGCUUUGCCACCGCUGUGUUGGGUUGUAUUCACAGCCCUGCUACUACCGAACAGCAGAGACAAUUGGAGAAAAAUGUUCUGUAUGGCAACACGAAGUGUAUAUCUCUUGGCAAACAAUUGUAAUGAGCCUGGCCUGAAUUUUAAAGUAAAGCUAUUAAUUACAUGCCAUUGUGCUAAACAUUGAUGAAUUUCUUUGUGGUGGAAAAUAUGUGCACAUUUCUUCUAGGCAUUAAAGCCUUUUCUCUUUGCUGGUGGUAAUUAAAAAACAAGGAC